rnacentral:rRNA from 1 species
GCUCCAGACUCCUACGGGAGGCAGCAGUGAGGAAUAUUGGUCAAUGGCCGCAGGGCUGAACCAGCCACGUCGCGUGAGGGAAGACGGCCCUACGGGUUGUAAACCUCUUUUGUCGGGGAGCAAAGCGAGUCACGUGUGACUCAUUGAGAGUACCCGAAGAAAAAGCAUCGGCUAACUCCGUGCCAGCAGCCGCGGUAAUACGGAGGAUGCGCGCGUUAUCCGGAUUUAUUGGGUUUAAAGGGUGCGUAGGGGGGCGUUUAAGUCAGCGGUAAAAAUUCGGGGCUCAACCCCGUCCGGCCGUUGAAACUGAUGUUCUUGAGUGGGCGAGAAGUAUGCGGAAUGCGUGGUGUAGCGGUGAAAUGCAUAGAUAUCACGCAGAACACCGAUUGCGAAGGCAGCAUACCGGCGCCCAACUGACGCUGAAGCACGAAAGCGUGGGUAUCGAACAGGAUUAGAUACCCCAGUAUA